GGGAAUGUGGCUUAGUGGUAGAGUGCUUGCCUAGCAUACAUGAAGCCUGGGUUCAAUUCCUCAGUACCA
rnacentral:tRNA from 1 species